UACGGGGGGGGCAAGCGUUGUUCGGAAUUACUGGGCGUAAAGGGCUGGUAGGCGGCCAACUAAGUCGGAUGUGAAAUCCCCAGGCUUAACCUGGGAACUGCAUCCGAUACUGGUCGGCUUGAAUCCGGGAGAGGGAUGCAGAAUUCCAGGUGUAGCGGUGAAAUGCGUAGAUAUCUGGAGGAACACCGGUGGCGAAGGCGGCAUCCUGGACCGGUAUUGACGCUGAGGCGCGAAAGCUAGGGGAGCAAACGGG
rnacentral:rRNA from 1 species